AUUGAACGCUGGCGGCAGGCCUAACACAUGCAAGUCGAGCGGAGCGGCGGACGGGUGAGUACUACCUAGGAAUCUGCCUGGUAGUGGGGGAUAAAGUUCGGAAACGGACGCUAAUACCGCAUGCUAUCAGAUGAGCCUAGGUCGGAUUAGCUAGUUGGUGAGGUAAUGGCUCACCAAGGCUACGAUCCGUAACUGGUCUGAGAGGAUGAUGAGUCACACUGGGACUGAGACACGGCCCAGACUCCUACGGGAGGCAGCAGUGGGGAAUAUUGGACAAUGGGCGAAAGCCUGACCCAGCCAUGCCGCGUGUGUGAAGAAGGUCUUCGGAUUGUAAAGCACUUUUGGUUGGGAAGCGGUAUCGACAGAAUAAGCACCGGCUAACUCUGUGCCAGCAGCCGCGGUAAUAC
rnacentral:rRNA from 1 species